GAUGAACGCUGGCGGCGUGCUUAACACAUGCAAGUCGAACGAUGAAAGCGGGAGCUUGCUCCUGCUGGAUUAGUGGCGAACGGGUGAGUAACACGUGAGCAAUCUGCCCCGAACUCUGGGAUAAGCGUUGGAAACGACGUCUAAUACCGGAUACGACGCGCGAAGGCAUCUUCUGCGCGUGGAAAGAAUUUCGGUUCGGGAUGAGCUCGCGGCCUAUCAGCUAGUUGGUGAGGUAACGGCUCACCAAGGCGACGACGGGUAGACGGCCUGAGAGGGUGACCGGCCACACUGGGACUGAGACACGGCCCAGACUCCGACGGGAGGCAGCAGUGGGGAAUAUUGCACAAUGGGCGAAAGCCUGAUGCAGCAACGCCGCGUGAGGGACGACGGCCUUCGGGUUGUAAACCUCUUUUAGUAGGGAAGAAGCGAAAGUGACGGUACCUGCAGAAAAAGCACCGGCUAACUACGUGCCAGCCGCCGCCGUAAUAC
rnacentral:rRNA from 1 species